rnacentral:rRNA from 1 species
CUAGCUGUAAACGAUGUAGACUUGGCGUUGGGAGAGUAAAAUCAUCCAGUGCCGAAGCAAACGCGAUAAGUCUACCGCCUGGGGAGUACGGCCGCAAGGUUAAAACUCAAAGGAAUUGACGGGGCCCCGCACAAGCAGCGGAGCGUGUGGUUUAAUUCGAUGCUACACGAAGAACCUUACCAGGGUUUGACAUAUAAGUGGUAGGGAAGGGAAACCGGACCGACCCUUCGGGGAGCUUAUACAGGUGC